CACGAGACGAGAUGGGAUGGUGCAGGACGCAGUUAUGCCCAUUUAUCUAAGUGGAUUGAUGGAGGCUUGUACGUUGUUGAAGAUCGCAUCAUUGCGGAUUCGCCAAAUAGUCCAGACGAAAGCUUUUUUCUUUUUUCACUAAUGCAAACUUAUUAUUAAUUAAUGUUAUUUUCAAACUGUAUUAACUUAAGUUAGGUAAUGUAGCUUUGGUGUAAGAGUUACAUUAAAUGUUUACUUGUAACUCAUAAAUAUUAUUAAAUAUAUGGGUUAGACUUCCUUUGA